UACGGGGGGGGCUAGCGUUGUUCGGAAUUACUGGGCGUAAAGGGCGCGUAGGCGGUCUGCUAAGUUGGAUGUGAAAACUCUGGGCUUAACCCAGAGCCUGCAUUCAAUACUGACAGGCUAGAGUUCUGGAGGGGAUAGCGGAAUUCCUGGUGUAGCGGUGGAAUGCGCAGAUAUCAGGAGGAACACCGAUGGCGAAGGCAGGUCUCUGGGCCGCAACUGACGCUGAGGAGCGAAAGCAUGGGGAGCGAACAGG
rnacentral:rRNA from 1 species